AAAAGAGAGAAAGAAAGAAAGAGAAAGAGAAAGAAAAGAAAGAAAGAGAAAGAAAAAAGAACUCCGCGCCUUGUAUUCAUCAGGUCUUGCAAAGGAAAUAAAAUAUCUCCAGUUAUUCUUGAGCCAUUUCUCUCUAUUUUAAAUACUAUGUACAUAAGAUGAUGAAAUGUCAUCUUUAAUUAAAUGGACUCAUCCUUUUAACCCAGAUGUGUGUGUAUGUGUGUGUGUGAGUGUGUAUGUGAGUGUGUGUGUGCAUGCGUUUGUGUGUAUUUUCUCCCCAGUGACCUCCUUUCUAGAUAUUUUGUCACCAGGGAAUUUUCCCACUUGAAGAUAUGUUGCAACACCAGUGAAAUAUCUGUAAUAAUUUAAAAAAAUAACAAUUUGUGCUAACAUUUAAAAAACACUUUAAAUAACAUUAAACAUCAUACAUGAAUUUUCCAAAAAGAGAAACUAUUGCUCCAAUCCCACCCUUUUCAUCAAAUGACGGAUUUCCUUUUCAAAUACUAACUUUUGUUAAUUCACUUACUAUUCAUGUAUUAUAAUUGAUUAGGGUAGGCUUUGAAGAUUUGUGUCAUAAAAGUGAAACUAGAUGUUGCCUCAAAUGGAUUGCAGUGGGCCUGCCCUCUUCUUUAAUUUUAUGUGCACUCUCCUCUCGGACCUAUGAUGUACCAAGUUAGGAUGAAGAUAACGUUCUCUUGCCCUGGGGAUUGGUCUCCAACGAGGUGCUGGGAUCAAACUCUACUUUGGAUUUCUACUUAGUUUUCCUCCUUGUUGGCUUCCAUCUCAGGGAAGCUUCUCCACAUGGAGGCAAAGAUGAUUAGUAACAGGGCCCAUAUGCAUUGGGGAAUAUGAGGACACCAAAAGAACAGAAAUAGAGGUUGUCCCACUCAGACUUCAGACUGAGAAGAAUGACAUGAUGGACUCUAUCUUCAGCAACUUGUUUCAUAUGAGGAGUGAAUGACAGUUGAUAAACAAUGUUCAGCAAGGAGACAUAUAGCUUUUAUUCUAAUUAGUUACUAGUGAGUUGAGUCCAUGUGUAUGUAUUAAAUGCUGAUCUAUGUAUGUAUAUGUUUAUAUAAAUAGUCACAGACUUAAA